rnacentral:rRNA from 1 species
GAUUAACGCUGGCGGCGUGCAUAACACAUGCAAGUCGAACGAUGAAACUUAACUGAUUUCUUCGGAAUGAUUUAAAGUGGAUUAGUGGCGGACGGGUGAGUAACGCGUGAGUAACCUGCCUUGGAGAAGGGGAUAGCCUUUGGAAACGAAGAAUAAUACCCUAUGAUAUGAUAAUAUCUCAUGAUAUUAUCAUCAAAGAUUUAUCGCUCUAAGAUGGACUUGCGUCUGAUUAGUUAGUUGGUGAGGUAACAGCUCACCAAGGCAGCGAUCAGUAGCCGGCUUGAGAGAGUGUACGGCCACAUUGGGACUGAGACACGGCCCAGACUCCUACGGGAGGCAGCAGUGGGGAAUUUUGCACAAUGGGGGAAACCCUGAUGCAGCGACGCCGCGUGAUUUAGAAGGCCUUCGGGUUGUAAAAAUCUUUUGUAUGGGAAGAAAAUGACAGUACCAUACGAAUAAGGACCGGCUAAUUACGUG